GUCAGCAGCCAUAUCACCCUGCAACUCCCAACUGGUAACCCAUUAAAGCUAAGCAGGCGUGAGCCUGGUCAGUAUCUGGAUGAGAGACUUCCUGGGAAAGGUUGCUGCUGGAA
rnacentral:rRNA from 1 species